rnacentral:rRNA from 1 species
AAUGAGCGUUGGCGGCAUGGAUUAGGCAUGCAAGUCGAGCGAGAAGUGUAGCAAUACACGGAAAGCGGCGGAAGGGAGAGUAAUACAUGGGAAUCUGCCCUUAGACCUGGGAUAGCAGCGGGAAACUGCUGGUAAUACCAGAUAAUGUCUAUGGACCAAAGGUGUGAUUCCGUCCAGGGAUGAGCCCACGUCCUAUUAGCUAGUUGGUAGGGUAAUGGCCUACCAAGGCGAUGAUGGGUAACGGGUGUGAGGGCAUGACCCGACCUAACUGGGACUGAGACACUGCCCAGACACCUACGGGUGGCUGCAGUCGAGAAUCUUCGGCAAUGGGCGCAAGCCUGACCGAGCGAGGCCGCGUGCGGGAUGAAGGCCUUCGGGUUGUAAACCGCUGUCGAGGGGGAGCAACUUCCAUAGAGUUAUCUUUAUGGAUUGAGUGAUCCCUGGAGGAAGGACGGGCUAAGUUCGUGCCAGCCGCCGCCGUAACAC